AUUGAACGCUGGCGGCAUGCUUUACACAUGCAAGUCGAACGGCAGCGCGGGCUUCGGCCUGGCGGCGAGUGGCGAACGGGUGAGUAAUACAUCGGAACGUGCCCAGUAGUGGGGGAUAGCUCGGCGAAAGCCGGAUUAAUACCGCAUACGACCUGAGGGUGAAAGCGGGGGAUCUUCGGACCUCGCGCUAUUGGAGCGGCCGAUGGCAGAUUAGCUAGUUGGUGGGGUAAAGGCCUACCAAGGCGACGAUCUGUAGCUGGUCUGAGAGGACGACCAGCCACACUGGGACUGAGACACGGCCCAGACUCCUACGGGAGGCAGCAGUGGGGAAUUUUGGACAAUGGGCGAAGGCCUGCUCCAGCAAUGCCGCGUGUGUGAUGAAGGCCUUCGGGUUGUAAAGCACUUUUGGCGGGAACGAAAAGGACUGUGCCAAUACCACGGUUCGAUGACGGUACCCGCAGAAUAAGCACCGGCUAACUACAUG
rnacentral:rRNA from 1 species